AAUCAACGCUGGCGGCGUGCCUCAGACAUGCAAGUCGAACGCGAAAGUCCCCUUCGGGGGAUGAGUAGAGUGGCGCACGGGUGAGUAACACGUAGGUAAUCUACCUUCGGGUGGGGAAUAACAACCGGAAACGGUUGCUAAUACCGCAUAAUGCAGCGGCACCUAAUGGUGACAGUUGUUAAAGCGGGGGAUCGCAAGACCUCGCGCCUGAAGAGGAGCCUGCGGCGGAUUAGCUAGUUGGCAGGGUAACGGCCUACCAAGGCGACGAUCCGUAGCCGGCCUGAGAGGGCGGUCGGCCACACUGACACUGACAUACGGGUCAGACUCCUACGGGAGGCAGCAGUCGGGAAUUUUGGGCAAUGGGCGAAAGCCUGACCCAGCAACGCCGCGUGAAGGACGAAAUCCCUCGGGAUGUAAACUUCGCAAGAACGGGGAGAAUAAGCCGGUGUCAACACCACCGGCGAUGACGGUACCGUUUGUAAGCUCCGGCUAACUCCGUGCCAGCAGCCGCGGUAAUACGGGGGG
rnacentral:rRNA from 1 species